CCUACGGGAGGCAGCAGUAGGGAAUCUUGCGCAAUGGGCGAAAGCCUGACGCAGCCAUGCCGCGUGAAUGAUGAAGGUCUUAGGAUUGUAAAAUUCUUUCACCGGGGACGAUAAUGACGGUACCCGGAGAAGAAGCCCCGGCUAACUUCGUGCCAGCAGCCGCGGUAAUACGAAGGGGGCUAGCGUUGCUCGGAAUUACUGGGCGUAAAGGGAGCGUAGGCGGAUAGUUUAGUCAGAGGUGAAAGCCCAGGGCUCAACCUUGGAACUGCCUUUGAUACUGGCUAUCUUGAGUAUGGGAGAGGUGAGUGGAACUCCGAGUGUAGAGGUGAAAUUCGUAGAUAUUCGGAAGAACACCAGUGGCGAAGGCGACUCACUGGCCCAUUACUGACGCUGAGGCUCGAAAGCGUGGGGAGCAAACAGGAUUAGAUACCCUGGUAGUCCACGCCGUAAACGAUGAGUGCUAGUUGUCGGCAUGCAUGCAUGUCGGUGACGCAGCUAACGCAUUAAGCACUCCGCCUGGGGAGUACGGUCGCAAGAUUAAAACUCAAAUGAAUUGACGG
rnacentral:rRNA from 1 species